rnacentral:rRNA from 1 species
CCUACGGGAGGCAGCAGUGGGGAAUAUUGGACAAUGGGGGAAACCCUGAUCCAGCAAUGCCGCGUGAGUGAUGAAGGCCUUAGGGUCGUAAAGCUCUUUUACCAGGGAUGAUAAUGACAGUACCUGGAGAAUAAGCUCCGGCUAACUCCGUGCCAGCAGCCGCGGUAAUACGGAGGGAGCUAGCGUUGUUCGGAAUUACUGGGCGUAAAGCGUGCGUAGGCGGUUAUUCAAGUCAGAGGUGAAAGCCCGGGGCUCAACCCCGGAACGGCCUUUGAAACUAGAUAACUAGAAUCUUGGAGAGGUCAGUGGAAUUCCGAGUGUAGAGGUGAAAUUCGUAGAUAUUCGGAAGAACACCAGUGGCGAAGGCGACUGACUGGACAAGUAUUGACGCUGAGGUACGAAAGCGUGGGGAGCAAACAGGAUUAGAUACCCUGGUAGUCCACGCCGUAAACGAUGAUAACUAGCUGUCCGGACACUUGGUGUUUGGGUGGCGCAGCUACGACAUUAAGUUAUCCGUCCGUCGGGUAGGUACGGUCGCGAGAAUUAAACUACAAAGAAGUUAGUACGGCGUGAGACGUGCCGAACGGACGACGACGAGGGAGUAGG